AUUGAACGCUGGCGGCAUGCCUUACACAUGCAAGUCGAACGGUAACGCGCCUUCGGGUGGCGACGCUUGGCGGACGGGUGAGUAAUACAUCCGAACGUGCCCGAUCGUGGGGGAUAACGCAGCGAAAGCUUUCCUAAUCCCACACACGAUCUAAGGAUGAGAUCAGGGGACGGCAAGGCCUUGCGCCGACGGAUCGGCCGAUGGCCGAGUAGGUAGUUGGUGUGAUUAAGGCUUACCAAGCCGACGAUCUGUAGCUGGUGUGGGAGGAUGAUCGGCCACAUGGGGAGUGGGCCACGCCCCAGACUACUGCGGGAGGCAGCAGUCGGGAAUUGUGGACAAUGGGCGCAAGCCUGAUCCAGCCAUGCCGAGUGCAGGAUGAAGGCCUUCGGGUUGUAAACUGCUUUUGUACGGAACGAAAAGCCUUCUUUUAAUACAGGAGGGUCAUGACGGUACCGUAAGAAUAAGCACCGGCUAACUACGUG
rnacentral:rRNA from 1 species